rnacentral:rRNA from 1 species
UACGGAGGGAGCUAGCGUUGUUCGGAUAUACUGGGCGUAAAGCGCACGUAGGCGGCCCCGUAAGUCAGGGGUGAAAUCCCGGAGCUCAACUCCGGAACUGCCUUUGAAACUGCAAGUCUCGAGUCCGAUAGAGGUGGGUGGAAUUCCUAGUGUAGAGGUGAAAUUCGUAGAUAUUAGGAAGAACACCGGUGGCGAAGGCGGCCCACUGGAUCGGUACUGACGCUGAGGUGCGAAAGCGUGGGGAGCAAACAGG